CUCUAUAUAUAGAUAACAUAAUAUUAGUUUGUUUAUUAAGAUUAUAGUAAGUAUUAAUCAUGAACAAGGCACAUUUUGGGGUUUUCUUCAUUUUUCUUAUUCUCCUUGCUUCACAGAUGGUGGUAGAAUCCAAGAGAGCACAUUGUGAGACAAAGAGUUAUCUAUUUCAAGGGAUUUGUUUGAGUAAUCGCAAUUGUGCAAAAGUUUGUCAUGUUGAAGGUUAUAUUGCAGGUGGUAAAUGUAGAGGAUUGUUUAGUUACUGCUCUUGCAAAAAGAGUUGUUAACAUAAGUUGGUGCUAAUGUGUACUCUAACUUAUGUAACUUGUGUUACUCUUAUGAUAAAGAAGAAGAAUGCAAACAAUAUUCUCUUUAAAAAAGUUUCUUAACAAACUUUUUCUAUUAAUUAAAAAAGAGUAUAUUAAAAACAUUAUGUAUGGAGAAUGUGUUCUAAGUCCUUUUAUAACAAAUUUUAUGGCGAUAUUUAAGUAGUA